rnacentral:rRNA from 1 species
CCAAUAGCGUAUAUUAAGGUUGUUGCAGUUAAAGAGCUCGUAGUUGAAUUUCGGGGUUAGUAGGUUGGUCAUGCCUCUGGUAUGUACUGGUCUCACUGAUUCCUCCUUCCUGAUGAGCCGUAAUGCCAUUAAUUUGGUGUUGCGGGGAAUUUGGACUGUUACUUUGAAGAAAUUAGCGUGUUUAAAGCAAGCUAACGCUUGAAUACAUUAGCAUGGAAUAAUGAACUAGGACGUUCGAUCCUAUUUUGUUGGUUUCUAGGAUUGACGUAAUGAUUAAUAGGGAUAGUUGGGGGCAUUAGUAUUCAAUUGUCAGAGGUGAAAUUCUUGGAUUUAUUGAAGACUAACUACUGCGAAAGCAUUUGCCAAGGAUGUUUUCAUUAAUCAAGAACGAAAGUUAGGGGAUCGAAGACGAUCAGAUACCGUCGUAGUCUUAACCAUAAACUAUGCCGACUAGGGAUCGGAUGAUGUUAAUUUUUUAAUGACUCAUUCGGCGUCUUACG